UACGUAGGUGGCGAGCGUUGUCCGGAUUUACUGGGCGUAAAGAGCGCGCAGGCGGCUGGUCAAGUCCGAUGUGAAAGCUCCCGGCUUAACUGGGAAAUUGCAUCGGAAACUGAUCGGCUGGAAGGUGGGAGAGGGUAGCGGAAUUCCCGGUGUAGUGGUGAAAUUCGUAGAUAUUCGCAAGAACACCAGUGGCGAAGGCGGCUCACUGGCCCGGUACUGACGCUGAGGUGCGAAAGCGUGGGGGAGCAAACAGG
rnacentral:rRNA from 1 species